CUGCAAGCUAACGUCGUCAGUUAGGAUGGGUGCUCCCGUUUCCUGAAAUUUAAUGAUAAAGGUUAAUUGGUCUUAAUUUUUUGACUGACUGGUGGCAUGGAGAAAUUACCAUAAGCUAACUUGGGUCAUAAGAACACCACCUACCAGCAGACUUAGAGCUUUGGAAGGACAUCUGAAAUCACUUCUAAUGUACAGACACUAGGAAGUCAAGUCAACCACCAAGGCAACUUACUGUAGGUAAAGAAUGAACAAUAGAAGAAAAAGAGUAUCUCCCUGAAUAUAAUGCUCAGUUAAAGAAUUUUCAUCAGAGGAACCAUUCCCUUUCUUAGGGAAUGAGCCACUUUCAGAAAGAAAUGGACUCUGCCCUAAAAGCCAUCCAUAGUCCUCCUAGAGGUCCACAGGCCCAGCCUAAGGUUCACUGCGCCAUGUUAUCUCAAAUAAAAACUUUAGUCCCAAACACGUGUUUACUACUAACUCUAACAUAACUCUGGAAGGGUAAAAGUGCAUAUAAGUUUAAUGAGGAAAAGUAACUGAUCUUGCCUGACAACUCAGAAAGCAAUAACUUAUGGUGAUUUGA